CCCGGCUGGCACUGCCCUGCGCCCCCGCCCUUCCGUCCCGGUACCCUGCCAGGAAACGUCUUCUUCCUGGGAAGACCGCUGCUGUCUGCGGCAGUGGGUGGCAGAGUCUGAAACCAAUUUGCACAAGCCCUGGGCGACAGAAAGUCUAGUGUUCGUUUUGGGGACUGUUCAUGCAGAACGAGCAGCUUAAAAAAAUGUCACCUGUGAGGUCUCAGCUCGUACAACAAGAAGAUAGCAAUCUACAAACCAGAAAGUGGGCCCUCACCAAGAACUAGAUGAUGAUGGUGCCCUGGCUUCAAACUUCCAGCUUCCAGAACUGUGAGAAAUAAAUUUCUGUUGUUUAUAAGUUA